AAUUGUUCCAAUUCAACGAGUGCUUUAUCGUGAUCAUGUAAUAAAAUAAGCACUUUGGCUUUCUUGAACCUGGCAAGCGAAGACUUUUCAUCCAGUUUACAUGCCCGAUCAUAAAAAUCAAGUGCUUUUUUGUAAUCUUUGCAGCGUUCGUAAAUCAUACCAAUACAAGUGAUGAGUACAGAGUUGUUAGGAUUGAUCUCUGCAGCACGUUGAAAAUGAAAGUCUGCUUGAUCAUUUCGCCCUGUUUUUAAAUAAACCAUUCCCAGGCCAUACCAUGCAUUGUAAUGUCGAACAUUUACUCUAAUUGCUUUGCGGAAAGAUGUUUUCGAUUUUUCGUAUUCUUCGUUUGCAGAAUGCUCGUGCCCUUGAAGCGUAUAAGCAUAUUCAAAAGUUGGAUCCAAUUGAAUAGCUCUAUUAAUACAUUUUAAUGCCUGCGAGUGUUCACGUUGAAGUGAGAAGCAAUUAGCAAGAAUGCACCAUGAUUCUGGGGAAUAAGGAUUAGUUUCCAAAGUUUCAUGGGCAAGGUAAGAUAAAGGAACAGACUUUUGCAAAUGCCAAAGUGCAGUU